rnacentral:rRNA from 1 species
AACGAACGCUGGCGGCAUGCCUAACACAUGCAAGUCGAACGAGACCUUCGGGUCUAGUGGCGCACGGGUGCGUAACGCGUGGGAACCUGCCCUUAGGUUCGGAAUAACUCCCCGAAAGGGGUGCUAAUACCGGAUAAUGUCUUCGGACCAAAGAUUUAUCGCCUUUGGAUGGGCCCGCGUUGGAUUAGCUAGUUGGUAGGGUAAAAGCCUACCAAGGCGACGAUCCAUAGCUGGUCUGAGAGGAUGAUCAGCCACACUGGGACUGAGACACGGCCCAGACUCCUACGGGAGGCAGCAGUGGGGAAUAUUGGACAAUGGGCGAAAGCCUGAUCCAGCAAUGCCGCGUGAGUGAUGAAGGCCUUAGGGUUGUAAAGCUCUUUUACCCGGGAUGAUAAUGACAGUACCGGGAGAAUAAGCUCCGGCUAACUCCGUU